rnacentral:lncRNA from 1 species
UUUGUGCUGUUGACAAAGAGGGGUAUUAGAUCACUGGCUGAUCAUUUCAUUAUCAUUUUAUUAAUGGAAAGCAUGUUUUAAAAUAAGAAGUGAAUAUAUAUUUCAAAUAGUAUAUGCCUGUACUUUCAAUUCUUAUCAUUUCCUAAGAUUUAGGUUUCUGAGAGGCAGUUGCUUUUUCAUAUUACAGUUCUGAAUCCUGAUAAAAUUUUUUCCCAAGAGGUACUAAUACCUAGAAAUUUGGAAGGUUGGGGAAAAAAUUAGAGGAUUUUGUUGUUAUUCUUUAUUCCCCUGUAAGCAAUUCUUAAAUUUGAAAAUUUUUCAUUAAAAUCAAAAGUACUGUAGAAAACUUUAUGACAGAAGAGAAAAAUCAUCUCAGAUCACUAUAGAAAGAGCUUCUUUUUACUGAUACAAUAGAAUGGGGAAAUUUUCAAUUGCCAAAAUACAACCAGGGGAGAAGUAGUCAUGCCUUUAG